AACCCGUUAGGCCUAAAUCCUUUAAUUCGAUUUGGGUGAGUCCGAUGAAGGAUUGAUUCAAGCCCAAUCGAGUUAAAUGGGUUAAAUUAAACCCAAUUGAGCUGGGCCUGAACCCCCAUUUAUGCAAUAGUAAUCCCAGCAGGCCCAAUUAAUUGUAAAUCAGGCCCAGUCCAAGCUAAUUAAAUUGGCAGAGGGCCUAAUUGGCUGAAAGAGGCUGGACUUAGUUUUAAAUCAGGCCCAGCCCUGUCAUUAAAAAGCCCAAUUAACCAUAUGGACCCA
rnacentral:lncRNA from 1 species